CCUACGGGGGGCAGCAGUGGGGAAUAUUGGGCAAUGGAGGCAACUCUGACCCAGCAACGCCGCGUGAAUGAUGAAGGUCUUCGGGUUGUAAAGUUCUUUUCUAACGGAGGUAGAAAGUGACGGUACCUUAGGAAUAAGCCUCGGCUAACUACGUGCCAGCAGCCGCGGUAAUACGUAGGAGGCGAGCGUUAUCCGGAAUUACUGGGUGUACAGGGUGCGUAGGUGGUUUGACAAGUUAGUAGCGAAACUCCGGGGCUCAACUCCGGAACUGCUACUAAAACUGUUGGACUUGAGUGCAGGAGGGGUAAUCGGAAUGCCUGGUGUAGCGGUGGAAUGCGUAGAUAUUAGGAGGAACACCAGUGGCGAAGGCGGAUUGCUAUACUGUAACUGACGCUGAGGCACGAAAGCGUGGGGAGCAAACAGGAUUAGAUACCCGAGUAGUC
rnacentral:rRNA from 1 species